GCCAACACGGUCUGGGAUGGACCAGACUCGGCGAGGGACCACUACCCAGAGUUCACCCGCCGCUUCCGGGCCAUGUUCGACCAUCCACCUGAGGGUCAAGCGGCGGGUGAACGUCUGUUCCAUUUACGGCAGGAGACGAGGAGCGCACAGGACUUCGCUCUGGAGUUCAGGACCUUGGCCGCCGGCGCGGGGUGGAACGACAGGGCCCUGAUUGACCACUAUCGGUGCAGUUUACGUGAGAACGUCCGCAGGGAGCUAGCAUGCAGAGACGCCAGCAUCACCCUGGACCAGCUAGUGGACAUGUCCAUAAGUUUGGACAACUUGCUGGCUACGCGCGGGCGUCCGGAUCGGGUCCUGUUGGUUCCACCCCCCAGCGCCUCCGCUCCAACACCCAUGGAGUUAGGGGCCACUGCAGCAAGGGCGAUCGGAGGAGGAGCUCCUUCCUGCACUAGGUGUGGUCGGAGAGGGCACACUGCCGACCGGUGCUGGAGGGGCUCGUCUGGGAGUCGAGACGGCAGGCCAAGCACUGUUCGGACACCCCAGGCCGGUGGUAGCUGGUCCGCUUCAAGAAGCUGAGGUACGGGAGGUCCCUCCGCACCCCCUGGACAUCGUGGGGGCCCCGGCGUAUGCAGUGCGAUCCAUACUGGAUUCCAGGCCUCAGACGAUACUCAAAACAAAAUGCACGCCGAACUGGGAGCUGUGAACUGGGAAGCAGAUGUUCUUCUAAGGGACACCCUAGAGGCAGCAAGGUGAUGUGAACUCCAAACAUUUAAAGGCACUGUUUCCCUCCCUAGUGUAAUUGGGAUGGAAGGGGAAGACCGCAUUACAACCCUUAAAGAACUACAGUUGUAUGAUGGCCUGGAUGAAGAGAAAAAUGUUCUCCUCAAGGAACCAUUCAUGUUACAGAGAGAUUAUGAGUUGUUCUAUUUGGAGGCAGUUGACAACAAGAAAAUUACUGUCUUUGUCUCUUUUGAGGAGCAAAGCCAUUUUUGAGGAGUGGUUAAACUUUGUCUGCUGUGUUAAUUGUUUCAAUUGUUAAUUGUGUUGUUUAGUAAAGAUGACGUAGAAGUCAGCCGAGUCUGAUCUCUUUACUGGAGCUGGUAUAACUUAAUGUGCAAAGCACAUUCAGCUUGUCAGUAUAUCUAUAUGGUAUAGUCUGUCUCCAUUCUCAUGAGGAAAGUAAAUAACAUUAUAAAUCAGGAUGGGUAGUAACUGUGUGUAUAUAUGCUCAAUUAAAUAAUAUAAUUACAAAGUUAUAACAUUUAUCAACACAAUUUUAACAGUACAUAACAAGUCUGCUGUUCACUGCAACAAUUUCAGUAGUUUGUCUCAAAUAUAGUAUGACGCAAAAAGUGUUACAUCUGCUGGUACUUUAUAUAAUAUUUCUUACAAUCUUCAAAAAUGAAAUAUGUUUUUAUUCAACUUGUGCCUUGCGCAAAUGAGUGUUACUGUCAAACAUCAGAUGGACAAUAAAAAGGUGGGCAGGGUCAAAUGUGGGCAGAGUCAAACGUUUGACUCCGCCCACAUUGAACCCAGCCCCGAACUGCACACUGCAGUCAGGGGUACGUGGACUUGCUUGCUAGUUGAGAUUUCUGCUCUUCACUCCAUUGUCAGUUUAGCCUACAUUUCACUGAUCUUAGUAGCAGAAAGUAUUUUUUAUAUGUGUCCUUCAAGGCAGCUGUCAAUGAUCACGUUAGGCUGCGUUUCAUUUGAUUUGUUAUGGCGGUUUGAUCGCGGAGGAGGCACUAGUAAUGUCUGCAGUUUUCGGUUUGUCAUUUUGUUUCAAGUGUAUUAGUCUAUAAAUAAAUCUCUUUGCCAAAAUUCAUCUCUCCCAUGUCUUAUUCAACUAGUAGUUGUUCUGAAAUGUUUGCUUGCCUACAUUUUACUCGGUUUAAUACAACACACAUUAA
rnacentral:lncRNA from 1 species